rnacentral:rRNA from 1 species
UACAGAGGUCCCGAGCGUUGUUCGGAUUCACUGGGCGUAAAGGGUGCGUAGGUGGUGGCGUAAGUCGGAUGUGAAAUCUCGGAGCUCAACUCCGAAACGGCAUUGGAAACUGCGUUACUAGAGGGUUGGAGGGGGGACUGGAAUACUUGGUGUAGCAGUGAAAUGCGUAGAUAUCAAGUGGAACACCGGUGGCGAAGGCGAGUCCCUGGACAACACCUGACACUGAGGCACGAAAGCUAGGGGAGCAAACAGG